UAUUCAUAUGCUUGUCUCAAAGGUUAACCCAUGCAUGUGUUAUUUUAAUUCAUUUUGGCAAAACUGCAAAUGGCUCAUUAUAUCAUUUAUAGUAACAUUGGUGGAUAUUUUAAAGGAUAUCUGUGGAAAUUCUAAAGCUAAUACGUGAAUAAAGCAUACGUAAGUAUGGAUACAUUUAUUAAAUAAAAAUCAAUCUAUUUUACUAAAAUAUAAACAAUUCAUAAUAAAAAAGUAAAUCGUAUGUUAUUCAAUGACAUACCAUUCAGGUUUCUAACCUAUCACCUUUGACGGUAGGGUAUUGGCCCACCGUGGCUAUGACGGGUAACGGGAAAUUAGGGUUUGGUUCCGGAGAGGGACCCUGAAAAACGGCUACCACAUCUAAGGAAGGCAGCAGGCGCGCAAAUUACCCAAUCCUAACAUAGGGAGGUAGUGACAAGAAAUAUCAUUACAAGGUUUUGAAUCUUGUAAUUGUAAUGAGUU
rnacentral:rRNA from 1 species